rnacentral:rRNA from 1 species
UACGGGGGGGGCAAGCGUUGUUCGGAAUUACUGGGCGUAAAGGGCUCGUAGGUGGCCAACUAAGUCAGACGUGAAAUCCCUCGGCUUAACCGGGGAACUGCGUCUGAUACUGGAUGGCUUGAAUUCGGGAGAGGGAUGCGGAAUUCCAGGUGUAGCGGUGAAAUGCGUAGAUAUCUGGAGGAACACCGGUGGCGAAGGCGGCAUCCUGGACCGAGAUUGACGCUGAUGCGCGAAAGCGUGGGGAGCAAACAGG